CAGUAGCCGCGGGAAUACGUAGGUGGCAAGCGUUGUCCGGAAUUAUUGGGCGUAAAGGGCUCGCAGGCGGUUUCUUAAGUCUGAUGCGAAAGCCCCCGGCUCAACCGGGGAGGGUCAUUGGAAACUGGGAAACUUGAGUGCAGAAGAGGAGAGUGGAAUUCCACGUGUAGCGGUGAAAUGCGUAGAGAUGUGGAGGAACACCAGUGGCGAAGGCGACCCUCUGGUCUGUAACUGACGCUGAGGAGCGAAAGCGUGGGGAGCGAACAGGAUUAGAUACCCCAGUAGUCCCUGUCUCUUAUAC
rnacentral:rRNA from 1 species